rnacentral:rRNA from 1 species
CUACGGGACGCAGCAGUCGAGAAUAUUCCACAAUGGGCGAAAGCCUGAUGGAGCGACGCCGCGUGCAGGAAGAAGAACCUCGGUUUGUAAACUGCUUUUAUGAAGGAAAAAGUGCUUCGCAUUGAUUGUACUUUAUGAAUAAGGGGCUGCUAACCUCGUGCCAGCAGCAGCGGUAAUACGAGAGCCCCAAGCGUUAUCCGAAUUUAUUGGGCGUAAAGCGUGUGUAGGGGGCUCGAUGCGUCUUCUGUUAAAUCUCACUGCUCAACGGUGAGGCCGCAGAGGAUACGGUCGAGCUAGAGGAUGUUAGAGGCUGAUGGAACACAUAGUGUAGGGGUGAAAUCCGUUGAUAUUAUGUGGAACACCAAAGGCGAAGGCAUUCAGCUGGGGCAUUCCUGACCCUGAGACACGAAAGCGUGGGUAGCGAAGAGGAUUAGAUACCCUUGUAGUC